rnacentral:rRNA from 1 species
UACAGAGGUCCCAAGCGUUGUUCGGAUUCAUUGGGCGUAAAGGGUGCGUAGGUGGCGCUGUAAGUCGGGUGUGAAAUUUCGGAGCUUAACUCCGAAACUGCAUUCGAUACUGCGGUGCUCGAGGACUGGAGAGGAGAUUGGAAUUUACGGUGUAGCAGUGAAAUGCGUAGAUAUCGUAAGGAAGACCAGUGGCGAAGGCGAAUCUCUGGACAGUUACUGACACUGAGGCACGAAGGCCAGGGGAGCAAACAGG